GAUUUUAAGCUUCUACGGGAGGCUGCAGUGGGGAAUCUUGCGCAAUGGGCGAAAGCCUGACGCAGCCAUGCCGCGUGAAUGAUGAAGGUCUUAGGAUUGUAAAAUUCUUUCACCGGGGACGAUAAUGACGGUACCCGGAGAAGAAGCCCCGGCUAACUUCGUGCCAGCAGCCGCGGUAAUACGAAGGGGGCUAGCGUUGCUCGGAAUUACUGGGCGUAAAGGGAGCGUAGGCGGACAUUUAAGUCAGGGGUGAAAUCCCGGGGCUCAACCUCGGAAUUGCCUUUGAUACUGGGUGUCUUGAGUAUGAGAGAGGUGUGUGGAACUCCGAGUGUAGAGGUGAAAUUCGUAGAUAUUCGGAAGAACACCAGUGGCGAAGGCGACACACUGGCUCAUUACUGACGCUGAGGCUCGAAAGCGUGGGGAGCAAACAGGAUUAGAUACCCUUUAGUCGAAUUCUU
rnacentral:rRNA from 1 species